CCUACGGGUGGCAGCAGUGGGGAAUAUUGGACAAUGGGGGGAACCCUGAUCCAGCCAUGCCGCGUGUGUGAAGAAGGCCCUCGGGUUGUAAAGCACUUUCAGUGAGGAAGAACGCCUGGUGGUUAAUACCCAUCAGGAAAGACAUCACUCACAGAAGAAGCACCGGCUAACUCCGUGCCAGCAGCCGCGGUAAUACGGAGGGUGCGAGCGUUAAUCGGAAUUACUGGGCGUAAAGCGCGCGUAGGUGGCUUGAUGAGCCGGUUGUGAAAGCCCCGGGCUCAACCUGGGAACGGCAUCCGGAACUGUCAAGCUAGAGUGCAGGAGAGGAAGGUAGAAUUCCCGGUGUAGCGGUGAAAUGCGUAGAGAUCGGGAGGAAUACCAGUGGCGAAGGCGGCCUUCUGGACUGACACUGACACUGAGGUGCGAAAGCGUGGGUAGCAAACAGGAUUAGAUACCCCUGUAGUC
rnacentral:rRNA from 1 species